rnacentral:rRNA from 1 species
CUGGCGUCAGGAUGAACGCUGGCGGCGUGCCUAACACAUAGCAAGUCGAACGGACCUAUUACGACAGAGACUUCGGUCGACGAAGUUUAAGGUUAGUGGCGGACGGGUGAGUAACGCGUGGAGAACCUGCCCUGUACUGGGGGAGUAACAGUGAGAAAUUACUGCUAAUACCGCAUAAGCGCACGGGACCGCAUGGUCCUGAGUGAAAAACUCCGGUGGUACAGGAUGGCUCCGCGUUGGAUUAGCCAGUUGGCGGGUAACGGCCCACCAAAGCGACGAUCCAUAGCCGGCCUGAGAGGGUGAACGGCCACAUUGGGACUGAGACACGGCCCAGACUCCUACGGGAGGCAGCAGUGGGGAAUAUUGCACAAUGGGGGGAACCCUGAUGCCAGCGACGCCGCGUGAAGGAAGAAGUAUCUCGGUAUGUAAACUUCUAUCAGCAGGGAAGAAAAUGACGGUACCUGACUAAGAAGCCCCGGCUAACUACGUGCCAGCAGCAGC